CUUCUUAUCGACUUGCUUGGUUGUAGACGCCUUAUAUACUGCAGGUGUAUGGCGGGUCUGUGCACGUACCGGUUAUGCUUCCGCUGGUACCCGGGCGUGACACUAAAUCACAUAUAAAUCCAUUUCUAAAUCUCAACUCCUUUAAAAUUCCAUCAAAAUCACCUGUCCUAGAAACUACUGACAAAAUCUUAUCAUAGAAAUGCCAACGAGAAAACAAUAUUAAUAUAAUACCAACUUCGCUAUUGAAGCGACCGGAAAAAUCACACGUGCGCGCGGUCUCGAUCAGCUCAUCAAAUACCAAGAUCCCUUCUUUUCUCUCCCUCUUUCUCUCUCUAAAACGUAAUGUGGAGGAGAUGGGAAUGAAGAAGAAUGCCCAGGUGCACUACUGUAACACCCCAUACUUUUAAACUUCUUGUUUUGACUCCUAUUCUUUUGAAACUUGGACCUUUUUGUAAAUAUUAUGAGUACGGGAGCUUGGCGGCAUAUUGUUUAUUUAAUCCUUAAUCUAAUUAAGUUCUUUUUUCCUUUUCUUUUCAUUCCGGAUGAACCCCCCAACCCGAUCGAUCCCUCUUUUUUUCCCUCUUCCGUACGACUCCCUCUCUCUCUCCUUCUUCACCGCGUCGUACGCCUCUGCUCCGCACGUGCGCGCGUGACGCCAUCCGAUCGUCGACAUCAUCCGUAGCCGCCUCCGCCGCAAUCCUCUUU
rnacentral:lncRNA from 1 species